rnacentral:rRNA from 1 species
GACGAACGCUGGCGGCGUGCCUAACACAUGCAAGUCGAACGGAAAGGCCCUGCUUUUGUGGGGUGCUCGAGUGGCGAACGGGUGAGUAACACGUGAGUAACCUGCCCUUGACUUUGGGAUAACUUCAGGAAACUGGGGCUAAUACCGGAUAGGAGCUCCUGCUGCAUGGUGGGGGUUGGAAAGUUUCGGCGGUUGGGGAUGGACUCGCGGCUUAUCAGCUUGUUGGUGGGGUAGUGGCUUACCAAGGCUUUGACGGGUAGCCGGCCUGAGAGGGUGACCGGCCACAUUGGGACUGAGAUACGGCCCAGACUCCUACGGGAGGCAGCAGUGGGGAAUAUUGCACAAUGGGCGGAAGCCUGAUGCAACAACGCCGCGUGCGGGAUGACGGCCUUCGGGUUGUAAACCGCUUUCGCCUGUGACGAAGCGUGAGUGACGGUAAUGGGUAAAGAAGCACCGGCUAACUACGUG